rnacentral:rRNA from 1 species
AUUGAACGCUGGCGGCAGGCCUAACACAUGCAAGUCGAGCGGAUGAAGGGAGCUUGCUCCUGGAUUCAGCGGCGGACGGGUGAGUAAUGCCUAGGAAUCUGCCUGGUAGUGGGGGAUACCGUCCGGAAACGGGCGCUAAUACCGCAUACGUCCUGAGGGAGAAAGUGGGGGAUCUUCGGACCUCACGCUAUCAGAUGAGCCUAGGUCGGAUUAGCUAGUUGGUGGGGUAAAGGCCUACCAAGGCGACGAUCCGUAACUGGUCUGAGAGGAUGAUCAGUCACACUGGAACUGAGACACGGUCCAGACUCCUACGGGAGGCAGCAGUGGGGAAUAUUGGACAAAGGGCGAAAGCCUGAUCCAGCCAUGCCGCGUGUGUGAAGAAGGUCUUCGGAUUGUAAAGCACUUUAAGUUGGGAGGAAGGGCAGUAAGUUAAUACCUUGCUGUUUUGACGUUACCAACAGAAUAAGCACCGGCUAACUUCGUG